GAUGAACGCUAGCGGCAGGCUUAACACAUGCAAGUCGAGGGGUAGAGUGGCUUCGGCUACUUGAGACCGGCGCACGGGUGCGUAACGCGUAUGCAAUCUACCUUAUACAGGGGGAUAGCCCAGAGAAAUUUGGAUUAAUACCCCAUAGUAUUUUCGAAUGGCAUCAUUUGAUUAUUAAAGUUCCAACGGUACAAGAUGAGCAUGCGUCCCAUUAGCUAGAUGGUAAGGUAACGGCUUACCAUGGCUACGAUGGGUAGGGGUCCUGAGAGUGAGAUCCCCCAAACUGGUACUGAGACACGUACCAGACUCCUACGGGAGGCAGCAGUGAGGAAUAUUGGGCAAUGGUCGCAAGACUGACCCAGCCAUGCCGCGUGCAGGAUGACGGUCCUAUGGAUUGUAAACUGCUUUUGUACAGGAAGAAACACUCCUACGUGUAGGAGCUUGACGGUACUGUAAGAAUAAGGAUCGGCUAACUCCGUGCCAGCAGCCGCCGUAAAAC
rnacentral:rRNA from 1 species